UAGAAGUCUCCUUAUGGAAAGUCUUUACAAGUGUCCUUUACUAAUCACUUCAGUUAAGGAUGGGCCAGAGGCCAUGCGUGUUUUCAAGGCUUUGAGUGAGGACUGCCCCCAAGUGAUCUCUAGAAAAAAUACAUCCAUUUACACCUUAGUGUCUGAGAGCACUGAUUUCUGUAAUCUCUGAGCAACACAAUUUUUUUAAACUUUUGCCAGUUUGGUAUGCUUGCCUGAUUUGUAAGGGAACUGAAAGCACCCUUUUUGGCCUCUGCAACACUUAAAAGUACGUCUCACAAGACCCUCUGCCCACCCUUUCCUAGCGCUUAAGUCUUCCCAAAGAUGAGGUACAGCAUUUCGGUAAUAAUGAAAAGAGAUAUCACCACAGUCACUUGAAAAGUGAAGAACUUGGCCUCCUAGUGGGUAACAACCACAUUCUAAUGCACCUCUUUGCUAAGCCCUUGCUCUUCACAAUAAUGACAACUCAAUACGGAUAUAUUCACACUAUUGUCUCUAGUCCCCCGUUUGUCUAACCUUGAAAUGUUUGACUUGAAGGUUGAUGAAAACAGGAUCAUAUCCUUAAGUAAGGCCUAUCUUGGGAAUACUAUGUCUUUCAUAGGUCUAAUAUGACCUAUGAUGUGAUGGAAAAACCAUGGUCCUUAUUUUACAGGUGAGUAUAGGUGCUUGGAGAGGUUAAGGAAAUCACCCUGAUCCAAUAGCUGGUAACCUGCGAGGCAUAUCAUAUCUCAUGACUAUGGUAACUUCAAGCAUUACGUCGUCACACAACUAUUCAAGCCUGGAUGAAAGCAUGAACCAGCAUGGACAAGUAACAAACAGUUUGAAGACCAGGCUGAGUUCAUGACCACACUUGUUGACUCUGGUGACUUCAUAAGCUGGCCCCUGCCUGCCUCGCCUGCCUCUUGUCUGCUGCUCCUUUUGAUUCACCUACAACAAGCUGUUCUCUGUUACCAGAAUAUGCCACGUAUUUUGUUUUACUUCUGGGACUGACUUUACAAUCUUCUUUCUUCCUGGAAUGCCCUCCUCUAGCUGGGGAAAACCUACUCAUCUUUUUAGACCAGAUUAAAAGUCACUUUCCCUGUGAUGUUUUCUCGUGGAAAAAAAUAUUUUUUUAAGAGACAGUGGUCUCACUAUGUUGCCUAGGCUGGUCUCAAACUCCUGGGCACAAGCGAUCCUCCCAUCUCAGCCUCCCAAAAUACUAGGAUUACAGACAUAAGCCAUCACGCCCCCAACCUCAUGAAUUUUAGUUAGGUUAUAGCAGUAUAGUAAAAAUCCCUAUGGAUUGAAUUAUUUGCACCCUCAUAAGUGUUUUUUCUUUGAAUCCUAAGUACACUUAUUUUAUUGGAUUACAGUUUCUGAGUCAGUAUCCGGGAUAGACCGAAAGUUUCUUGAAGUGAUAAUUGUCUUAUUCAUCUUUAUAUCCCCUGUUCUUGGAACACAUAGUCUGUCCUGAAUAAAUGCCUAUUGAAUUGAAUCAGCUCAACAAAUGAGAAAAUUUAUGUUUCUUUCCUUUUUUCUUUCCCAGUUGUUUUUUAUUGUGUUCUGCCUUCAUGUUUGUGUAUUUCCUUAUAAGAACAUACCAUUUUGACAGACAGUACAUUUUUUCUUUCCUUUUCUAUCAAAUCUGGACUUAAACAAGACACAACUUUUCAUUGUUGUGUUCUGAUCACAGGUCCUAUCCUGUGGGCAUCAAUGUCACUAUUACUGCAGGCCACUAUUACUGCAGUGUAAUGUCACUAUUACAUGCACCCGUAAUUCUCUGACAUGUAUGCCACCCUGGCAAUGUACCCAAAUUUCCAACAGCAAUAGAUGAGCUUGUAUAUGCACACAUGUAAACUCCCGAAAGUACCUGGUAGGAUGUUAUUAAUAUACUGUAGAGAAUAUACAAUUCAGAGACACACUGACCUAGGCUUUAAUCCUUAUUCACAUACUGACUAGCUUUGUGACCUUGGGCAAGUUCCUUAGCCUCUCUGAGCCUGCUUCUUCUAUUAAAACAAAAAAUAGGUAUAGUAAGAUAACAUAAAACAAUAGCUGCUUGACAAAUGUUAGUCCCCUCUGCUGAGAUAGCACAUAUGUGGAUUGACAGGAAAGCAGGCUGAGUGCAGUCUGGACAGCAGGACAAGUGAACCAUAGAGUUAGUGGGUCUGCCUGUCUCUUUAAUGGGUCAAGGCCAACCUAUUUGGCAGGUCUCCUAAGAAAGAUGAGCUGCUUUGAAAUUGUAUCUUGGGCAGAGCUUUGGUUGCUUCUUCAUUUCUAUGCUUCUGACUUCCCUGCUUACAGCUGGCAGGGACAGCUACUCUGGAAGCUCAGGGGCUGCAUGUCUGUGAUAGAAGGAUGAGCAGCUGCUGCUUGUUAAAGUAGGGGGGUUGUUUGGGAGGCAGGCAAGUGACAUAAAAACAGUAUAUGGAAAUCCCCAAACCCCACUGUUAAAAUGAUGUCAGGGGUCCAAAUCAUGUCCAUGGAGUGACCUCAGUGACAUUUCUUCUCCAAAUACUCUAGCUCUUUACUGAUUUUUUUCCUCUUAACUUAGAAAGGAGGAAAUAAGGUAUAUAUUUGUUGGUCAGAUGAUUUUAAUGAGGUUAAGAAAAAACUGGCUUCCUUCAACAUGCCAUGCAUUUUCAUGCCUCUGUGCCCAUGCUUCUGCUGUUCUCACCACUAGAAAUGCUGUUCUCCCCACUGGAAAUGCUGUUCUCCCUCUACCUGCCUGGUGAAUUCAACCCCUAAACCUCAAAUUAGAGGCCAGCCCUUCUUUGCAUCUUCCCUCCCUGAUGCCACCCUUCCUUCUAGGCUGCCACCAUACUUCAAAGUUAACUUGGUUAUUGUGCUUCACAUACUGAACUGCCUUUGUUUUUUGAGGUCUCUUUACCCUAACAGGGUGAAAGUUUCUCUUGAGGAUCUUUGAUCCCCAAGGGCUUAGCUCAUAAAAGGCACUCAAUAAAUAUUUGUUGAGUGAAAACAUCUCCUUCUCACCAUAUUUGACAAUUUCUAAUUUCUCAUAAAUUUUCAUCAAGUUAUAGCAGCAUAGUAAAAGUCCUUAUGGAUUGAGUCCUUGAUUAGUUCUGGGAGGUUACUGAGCACGCCACCUCUACUUCAGGGGCAAUAGGAGUAAUGGGAGUAAGUGCUAACCCAGCAGCAGGGAGGAAGAAUCAAGGAAUCAUUUGGAAUCCAUAGAGUCACAUUUCUUUCUCUCUUUCUUUCUUUUCUUUCUUUCUUUCUUUCUUUCUUUCCUUCUUUCUUCUUCCUUCCUUUUUUUUUUUUUUUGUUUGACAGAAUCUUGCUCUGUCACCCAGGCUAGAAUGCAGUGGCACAAUUUUGGCUCACCACAGCCUCUGACUCCCAAGUUCAAGAGAUUCUUGUGCCUCAGCCUCCCCAGUAGCUGAGACUACAGGUGCCCGCCACCACGCCCAGCUAAUUUUUAUACUUUUAGUAGAGACAGGGUUUCCACCAUGUUGGCCAGGCUGGUCUCGAACUCCAGCCUCAUUCAGGUGAUCCACCCGCCUCAGCCUCCCAAAGUGCUGCAAUUAUAGGCGUAAGCCACUGUGCCCAACUAACAUUUCUUAGCCUAAUGUUUGCAUACUCCAGCUUUAUCUCUUGGCAGCCCAAAGUAGAUUCCUAGGUUCAACCAGAAGUUCCUUGAAAAUUGUCAGACUUCAUAGAAGUGUGGAGUUGGGAGUCAUGGAUCUAGUACUGUACUUCCACUUACUGGCAAACCCCUUGGGACAGAGUAUUAAGUUUGACAGACUUGGGUUCAAAUCCUGGCUCUGCCACUUAGACCAUCUGUGGGAGCUUGUUACCUCUCUGAGCCUCAGUUUCUUCCAGAUCUAGAAGGAGAAUAAUAUUUAUUUUGAAGGAUUGUUGUCACAACUAACUUGUAAGUGUAUAAAAUGCCUAAUCUAGGUUUGGCACUUCAUGGGUGUUUAAUAGGUGGGAAUUAUAAUUUGGAAACACUGGAGUGGGUGGGAUGAUGAUCUGGGCAAUGUAUUAUUAUUUGUUUACUAUUACCAGAUCCAGAUAUAUGCAGGGGAAAGCCAGCUUAGAAUUCAAAAAGCCACUUUACAUAGCUACUUUUGUUAAAUUGAUGUCAAAUAAAUACAUAAUGAUAUUUGCAGUGUGACUUAAUAAAGGCCUUCAGGGGGUUUUCCAGCUUUCACUGUUAGGAUUUUUUCUGAUAAUAGUCCCAUACUUUCCUACUCUGAUGUGUCCUCACUCAGAAGCACUGUCUGGCUCUCCCCAAAGGGAGCUCGGGACAGUUUCCUGCCUGAGGUGUUCAGGUGAAUUCUGUGCUCACUUUUCCUUUCUCUCUCCUUGUCUGUCUCUCUCACCCUGAGGUCUUAUCUUGUCCUCUGGGAGGUAUGUUAAGUGCUCUGCCAGGCUGCCUGUGCCUGGCCUGUUUUUUCUCACUGCCGGUACCUCUUGGAUUCCAAUUCCAAACAUGGUAUCCAUCUGGGGUCACCCUUUCUUCCGGUGCCAAGAGAGAACACAUUCCAAAUGGAACACAAGUGUGCCUCCCAUGCUGGCUCUCCUCAUUCUGCUUGGGAAAAACAGAGAGCAGGAUGUGGCCGUGUCAUCCCAUGCUGCUGGACUUUUCAGUCCUGUAGUGCUACUUUCCCUUGGGACUAUUUAGGUUUUUCUGCUAAGAACCAAAUUUGGAGACUGUCCCAAGAAACAUGGAACCAAGGAAGCUUGCCAGAGCUCUGCAGGGAGAGCCAGAGCCUUGCUGAGACAGCGGGGGUGGUGGG